CGCCUCUUGACCACAUAAGAGGUCCAGCCUGCCCAGUGACUCUGUUUAACGGCCGCGGUAUCCUAACCGUGCGAAGGUAGCGUAAUCACUUGUUCUUUAAUUGCGGACUAGUAUGAACGGCACCACGAGGGUUAUACUGUCUCCUUUCUCUAAUCAGUGAAACUAAUCUCCCCGUGAAGAAGCGGGGAUAUGAAUAUAAGACGAGAAGACCCUAUGGAGCUUUAAACACACAGCAACUAUUAUAUAAUACAUAUAAUUUUCUGAACACUUAAUCCUUUAAAUAACAUGACUGUAAGUUUUUGGUUGGGGUGACCACGGAGCAUAGUAUAACCUCCACGUUGAAAGAAGACACUUCUAAACUUAGACUCACACGUCUGAGCAUCAGAACACUGACAUUCAUUGACCCAAUACAAUUGAGCAACGAACCAAGUUACCCUAGGGAUAACAGCGCAAUCUACUUCAAGAGCCCCUAUCGACAGGUAGGUUUACGACCUCGAUGUUGGAUCAGGGUAUCCCAGUGGUGCAGCCGCUACUAAAGGUUCGUUUGUUCAACGAUUUAAACCCUACG
rnacentral:rRNA from 1 species